rnacentral:lncRNA from 1 species
CUCUUCCCUUCUCCAGUCCACUAAAAUAAGCGGAAAAGUUGUUGCUGCAAAAGAGCUGGAUGGCAAUGGAGACAAUGUGUGAUAAGCAGCCAUCCCCAUUUCGUCAGGAAAGUUUUACCUGAAGGAAAAGUGCUAAAACGCCUACCCUAAGGUGGUGAAUGACUUCAUCACCCCAGAAAAGUGAUGAGCCCUAGUUCAUCACUUGAAAAUGCC